rnacentral:rRNA from 1 species
UACAGAGGUCCCAAGCGUUGUUCGGAUUCACUGGGCGUAAAGGGUGCGUAGGCGGUUGGGUAAGUCUGAUGUGAAAUCUCACAGCUUAACUGUGAAACUGCAUUGGAUACUAUUCGGCUUGAGGUCUGGAGGGGGGACUGGAAUUCUUGGUGUAGCAGUGAAAUGCGUAGAUAUCAAGAGGAACACCCGUGGCGAAGGCGGCUCUCUGGGACGGUACUGACGCUGAGACGCGAAAGCGUGGGGAGCGAACAGG